UACGUAGGGACCGAGCGUUAUCCGGAUUCAUUGGGCGUAAAGAGCUCGUAGGCGGCUAUUCAAGUCGAACGUGAAAUCUCGGAGCUCAACUCCGAGCCUGCGUUCGAUACUGGGUAGCUAGAGUCUGGUAGGGGGAUCUGGAAUUCCUGGGUGUAGCGGUGGAAUGCGCAGAGUAUCAGGAGGAACACCGGUGGCGAAGGCGGGAUCCUGGGCCAGUACUGACGCUGAGGAGCGAAAGCGUGGGGAGCAAACAGGAGUUAAGAAACC
rnacentral:rRNA from 1 species